rnacentral:rRNA from 1 species
GACGAACCGAGCGAACGUUGUUCGGAAUCACUGGGCUUAAAGGGCGCGUAGGCGGGUGCUCAAGUCCGGGGGUGAAAUCCUCCAGCUCAACUGGAGAACUGCCUCGGAUACUGGGUGCCUCGAGGGUGGUAGGGGUAUGUGGAACUGUCGGUGGAGCGGUGAAAUGCGUUUGAUAUCGAUAGGAACUCCGGUGGCGAAGGCGGGUCUCUGGGCCGUAACUGACGCUGAGGAGCGAAAGCCAGGGAGCGAACGGG